UUAAGUUCAGCGGGUAGUCCUACCUGAUUUGAGGUCAAGUGGUCAGGUAAAUUGUCCACAAGUGGACGGCUGGAAGCUGGGUAGAUGCAACCACGCCGAGUGUAGAUAGACUAUCACACAAGGCUGCAGAUCGCACAAGAGCCCCUGCUAAUGCUUUUCAGAGGAGCCGGUCCCAGACGGGGCCAGCAGGACCUCCAACU
rnacentral:misc_RNA from 1 species